rnacentral:rRNA from 1 species
AAAGGUGUGCUAAUACCGCAUAAUCUCUCAGGAGAAAAGCAGGGGAUCGCAAGACCUUGCGCUUUAGGAGCGGCCGAUGCCUGAUUAGCUAGUUGGUAAGGUAAAAGCUUACCAAGGCUUCGAUCAGUAGCUGGUCUGAGAGGACGACCAGCCACACUGGGACUGAGACACGGCCCAGACUCCUACGGGAGGCAGCAGUGGGGAAUUUUGGACAAUGGGGGAAACCCUGAUCCAGCCAUGCCGCGUGAGUGAAUAAGGCCUUCGGGUUGUAAAGCUCUUUCAGCCGGAACGAAACGGUUACGAUUAAUACUCGUAAUUAAUGACGGUACCGGCAGAAGAAGCACCGGCUAACUACGUGCCAGCAGCCGCGGUAAUACGUAGGGUGCGAGCGUUAAUCGGAAUUACUGGGCGUAAAGGGUCCGCAGGUUGUUUUGUAAGUCAGAUGUGAAAGCCCCGGGCUUAACCUGGGAACUGCGUCUGAAACUACAAGGCUAGAGUAUGGCAGAGGGGGGUGGAAUUCCGCGUGUAGCAGUGAAAUGCGUAGAUAUGUGGAGGAACACCGAUGGCGAAGGCAGCCCCCUGGGUCAAUACUGACGCUGAGGGACGAAAGCAUGGGGAGCAAACAGGAUUAGAUACCCUGGUAGUCCAUGCCCUAAACGAUGUCAACUAGUUGUCGGGCCUUUACGGGCUUGGUAACGUAGCUAACGCGUGAAGUUGACCGCCUGGGGAGUACGAUCGCAAGAUUAAAACUCAAAUGAAUUGACGGGGACCCGCACAAGCGGUGGAUUAUGUGGAUUAAUUCGAUGCAACGCGAAAAACCUUACCUACCCUUGACAUGUAUCGAAGCCCGCAGAAAAGCGGAGGUGCCCGAAAGGGAACGAUAACACAGGUGCUGCAUGGCUGUCGUCAGCUCGUGUCGUGAGAUGUUGGGUUAAGUCCCGCAACGAGCGCAACCCUUGUCAUUAAUUGCCAUCAUUUAGUUGGGCACUUUAAUGAGACUGCCGGUGACAAACCGGAGGAAGGUGGGGAUGACGUCAAGUCCUCAUGGCCCUUA